rnacentral:rRNA from 1 species
GUGUAAGUAUGAACAAAUUCAGACUGUGAUACUGCGGAUGGCUCAUUAAAUCAGUUAUAGUUUGUUUGAUGGUAUCUACUACUCGGAUAACCGUAGUAAUUCUUGAGCUAAUACGUGCAACAAACCCCGACUUCUGGAAAGGAUGCAUUUAUUAGAUAAAAGGUCGACGCGGGCUCUGCCCGUUGCCGCGGCGAUUCAUGAUAACUCGACGGAUCGCACGGUCAUCAUGCCGGCGAUGCAUCAUUUAAAUUUCUGCCCUAUUAUGUCGGGGCGUCGCUACUUGCAUGGGCGUCACCACGAACACAGCCAACAGCAACCGAUGGCAAUGAG